rnacentral:ncRNA from 1 species
UUGAGCCGUGUGCAUUGAGAGGUGCACGCACGGUUCUGAGGGGGCCGGGAUGCAGCAAUGCAUCCCGGCUACCCGAC